CAUGUCUCAGUACAAGCCACAUUAAGGUGAAACCGCGAAAGGCUCAUUAAAUCAGUUAUGGUUCCUUAGAUCGUACCCACAUUUACUUGGAUAACUGUGGUAAUUCUAGAGCUAAUACAUGCAAACAGAGUUCCGACCGGAGACGGGAGGAAUGCUUUUAUUAGAUCAAAACCAAUCGGCGGCGGGCGCGUUUCACGCGUCCUCUCGCCGCUCAACUUGGUGACUCUGAAUAACUUUCGGCUGAUCGCACGGUCUUGAACCGGCGACGCAUCUUUCAAAUGUCUGCCUUAUCAACUGUCGAUGGUAGGUUCUGCGCCUACCAUGGUCGUAACGGGUAACGGGGAAUCAGGGUUCGAUUCCGGAGAGGGAGCCUGAGAAACGGCUACCACAUCCAAGGAAGGCAGCAGGCGCGCAAAUUACCCACUCCCGGCACGGGGAGGUAGUGACGAAAAAUAACGAUACGGGACUCAUCCGAGGCCCCGUAAUCGGAAUGAGUACACUUUAAAUCCUUUAACGAGGAUCAAUUGGAGGGCAAGUCUGGUGCC
rnacentral:rRNA from 1 species